GGGUUGUGAGGUUAAGCGACUAAGCGUACACGGUGGAUGCCUUGGCAGUCAGAGGCGAUGAAGGACGUGCUAAUCUGCGAUAAGCGUCGGUAAGGUGAUAUGAACCGUUAUAACCGGCGAUUUCCGAAUGGGGAAACCCAGUGUGUUUCGACACACUAUCAUUAACUGAAUCCAUAGGUUAAUGAGGCGAACCGGGGGAACUGAAACAUCUAAGUACCCCGAGGAAAAGAAAUCAACCGAGAUUCCCCCAGUAGCGGCGAGCGAACGGGGAGCAGCCCAGAGCCUGAAUCAGUGUGUGUGUUAGUGGAAGCGUCUGGAAAGGCGCGCGAUACAGGGUGACAGCCCCGUACACAAAAAUGCACAUACUGUGAGCUCGAUGAGUAGGGCGGGACACGUGGUAUCCUGUCUGAAUAUGGGGGGACCAUCCUCCAAGGCUAAAUACUCCUGACUGACCGAUAGUGAACCAGUACCGUGAGGGAAAGGCGAAAAGAACCCCGGCGAGGGGAGUGAAAAAGAACCUGAAACCGUGUACGUACAAGCAGUGGGAGCCUCUUAAUGGGGUGACUGCGUACCUUUUGUAUAAUGGGUCAGCGACUUAUAUUCUGUAGCAAGGUUAACCGAAUAGGGGAGCCGAAGGGAAACCGAGUCUUAACUGGGCGUUAAGUUGCAGGGUAUAGACCCGAAACCCGGUGAUCUAGCCAUGGGCAGGUUGAAGGUUGGGUAACACUAACUGGAGGACCGAACCGACUAAUGUUGAAAAAUUAGCGGAUGACUUGUGGCUGGGGGUGAAAGGCCAAUCAAACCGGGAGAUAGCUGGUUCUCCCCGAAAGCUAUUUAGGUAGCGCCUCGUGAAUUCAUCUCCGGGGGUAGAGCACUGUUUCGGCAAGGGGGUCAUCCCGACUUACCAACCCGAUGCAAACUGCGAAUACCGGAGAAUGUUAUCACGGGAGACACACGGCGGGUGCUAACGUCCGUCGUGAAGAGGGAAACAACCCAGACCGCCAGCUAAGGUCCCAAAGUCAUGGUUAAGUGGGAAACGAUGUGGGAAGGCCCAGACAGCCAGGAUGUUGGCUUAGAAGCAGCCAUCAUUUAAAGAAAGCGUAAUAGCUCACUGGUCGAGUCGGCCUGCGCGGAAGAUGUAACGGGGCUAAACCAUGCACCGAAGCUGCGGCAGCGACACUAUGUGUUGUUGGGUAGGGGAGCGUUCUGUAAGCCUGUGAAGGUGUACUGUGAGGUAUGCUGGAGGUAUCAGAAGUGCGAAUGCUGACAUAAGUAACGAUAAAGCGGGUGAAAAGCCCGCUCGCCGGAAGACCAAGGGUUCCUGUCCAACGUUAAUCGGGGCAGGGUGAGUCGACCCCUAAGGCGAGGCCGAAAGGCGUAGUCGAUGGGAAACAGGUUAAUAUUCCUGUACUUGGUGUUACUGCGAAGGGGGGACGGAGAAGGCUAUGUUGGCCGGGCGACGGUUGUCCCGGUUUAAGCGUGUAGGCUGGUUUUCCAGGCAAAUCCGGAAAAUCAAGGCUGAGGCGUGAUGACGAGGCACUACGGUGCUGAAGCAACAAAUGCCCUGCUUCCAGGAAAAGCCUCUAAGCAUCAGGUAACAUCAAAUCGUACCCCAAACCGACACAGGUGGUCAGGUAGAGAAUACCAAGGCGCUUGAGAGAACUCGGGUGAAGGAACUAGGCAAAAUGGUGCCGUAACUUCGGGAGAAGGCACGCUGAUAUGUAGGUGAAGUCCCUUGCGGAUGGAGCUGAAAUCAGUCGAAGAUACCAGCUGGCUGCAACUGUUUAUUAAAAACACAGCACUGUGCAAACACGAAAGUGGACGUAUACGGUGUGACGCCUGCCCGGUGCCGGAAGGUUAAUUGAUGGGGUUAGCGGUAACGCGAAGCUCUUGAUCGAAGCCCCGGUAAACGGCGGCCGUAACUAUAACGGUCCUAAGGUAGCGAAAUUCCUUGUCGGGUAAGUUCCGACCUGCACGAAUGGCGUAAUGAUGGCCAGGCUGUCUCCACCCGAGACUCAGUGAAAUUGAACUCGCUGUGAAGAUGCAGUGUACCCGCGGCAAGACGGAAAGACCCCGUGAACCUUUACUAUAGCUUGACACUGAACAUUGAGCCUUGAUGUGUAGGAUAGGUGGGAGGCUUUGAAGUGUGGACGCCAGUCUGCAUGGAGCCGGCCUUGAAAUACCACCCUUUAAUGUUUGAUGUUCUAACGUUGGCCCCUGAUCGGGGUUGCGGACAGUGUCUGGUGGGUAGUUUGACUGGGGCGGUCUCCUCCUAAAGAGUAACGGAGGAGCACGAAGGUUGGCUAAUCCUGGUCGGACAUCAGGAGGUUAGUGCAAUGGCAUAAGCCAGCUUGACUGCGAGCGUGACGGCGCGAGCAGGUGCGAAAGCAGGUCAUAGUGAUCCGGUGGUUCUGAAUGGAAGGGCCAUCGCUCAACGGAUAAAAGGUACUCCGGGGAUAACAGGCUGAUACCGCCCAAGAGUUCAUAUCGACGGCGGUGUUUGGCACCUCGAUGUCGGCUCAUCACAUCCUGGGGCUGAAGUAGGUCCCAAGGGUAUGGCUGUUCGCCAUUUAAAGUGGUACGCGAGCUGGGUUUAGAACGUCGUGAGACAGUUCGGUCCCUAUCUGCCGUGGGCGCUGGAGAACUGAGGGGGGCUGCUCCUAGUACGAGAGGACCGGAGUGGACGCAUCACUGGUGUUCGGGUUGUCAUGCCAAUGGCACUGCCCGGUAGCUAAAUGCGGAAGAGAUAAGUGCUGAAAGCAUCUAAGCACGAAACUUGCCCCGAGAUGAGUUCUCCCUGACUCCUUGAGAGUCCUGAAGGAACGUUGAAGACGACGACGUUGAUAGGCCGGGUGUGUAAGCGCAGCGAUGCGUUGAGCUAACCGGUACUAAUGAACCGUGAGGCUUAACCUUACAACGCCGAAG
rnacentral:rRNA from 1 species